GUGGGGAAUUUUGGACAAUGGGCGCAAGCCUGAUCCAGCAAUGCCGCGUGCAGGAAGAAGGCCUUCGGGUUGUAAACUGCUUUUGUACGGAACGAAACGGUCCGGGUUAAUACCCUGGGCUAAUGACGGUACCGUAAGAAUAAGCACCGGCUAACUACGUGCCAGCAGCCGCGGUAAUACGUAGGGUGCAAGCGUUAAUCGGAAUUACUGGGCGUAAAGCGUGCGCAGGCGGUUUUGUAAGACAGGCGUGAAAUCACCGGGCUCAACCUGGGAAUUUCGCUUGUGACUGCAAGGCUGGAGUGCGGCAGGGGGGGAUGGAAUUCCGCGUGUAGCAGUUAAAUGCGUAGGUAUGCGGAGGAACACCGAUGGCGAAGGCAAUCCCCUGGGCCUGCACUGACGCUCAUGCACGAAAGCGUGGGGAGCAAACAGGAUUAGAUACCCUUGUAGUCC
rnacentral:rRNA from 1 species